rnacentral:rRNA from 1 species
GUGCACGCUGGCGGUAGGCCUAACACAUGCAAGUCGAACGGCAGCACCGUAAGAGCUUGCUCUUACGGGUGGCGAGUGGCGGACGGGUGAGGAAUACAUCGGAAUCUACUUUUUCGUGGGGGAUAACGUAGGGAAACUUACGCUAAUACCGCAUACGACCUACGGGUGAAAGCAGGGGAUCUUCGGACCUUGCGCGAUUGAAUGAGCCGAUGUCGGAUUAGCUAGUUGGCGGGGUAAAGGCCCGCCAAGGCGACGAUCCGUAGCUGGUCUGAGAGGAUGAUCAGCCACACUGGAACUGAGACACGGUCCAGACUCCUACGGGAGGCAGCAGUGGGGAAUAUUGGACAAUGGGCGCAAGCCUGAUCCAGCCAUACCGCGUGGGUGAAGAAGGCCUUCGGGUUGUAAAGCCCUUUUGUUGGGAAAGAAAAGCAGCAGGUUAAUACCCCGCUGUUCUGACGGUACCCAAAGAAUAAGCACCGGCUAACUUCGUG